UACGUAGGGGGCAAGCGUUAUCCGGAUUUACUGGGUGUAAAGGGAGCGUAGACGGCGAUGCAAGUCAGAUGUGAAAGCCUGGGGCUCAACUCCGGAACUGCAUUUGAAACUGUAUUGCUGGAGUGCCGGAGAGGUAAGCGGAAUUCCUAGUGUAGCGGUGAAAUGCGUAGAUAUUAGGAAGAACACCAGUGGCGAAGGCGGCUUACUGGACGGUAACUGACGUUGAGGCUCGAAAGCGUGGGGAGCAAAC
rnacentral:rRNA from 1 species